rnacentral:rRNA from 1 species
UACGUAGGCAGCGAGCGUUGUUCGGAAUUACUGGGCGUAAAGCGUGCGUAGGCGGUGCCUCAAGUUUGGUGUGAAAUCUCCCGGCUCAACCGGGAGGGUGCGCCGAAAACUGAGGUGCUCGAGUGUGGGAGAGGUAAGCGGAAUUCCUGGUGUAGCGGUGAAAUGCGUAGAUAAUCAGGAGGAACACCGGCGGUGUAGACGGGACUUACCUG